ACGACUCUCGGCAACGGAUAUCUCGGCUCUUGCAUCGAUGAAGAACGCAGCGAAAUGCGAUACUUGGUGUGAAUUGCAGAAUCCCGUGAACCAUCGAGUCUUUGAACGCAAGUUGCGCCCGAAGCCGUCAGGCCGAGGGCACGUCUGCCUGGGCGUCACG
rnacentral:rRNA from 1 species